GGGCCCGCACAAGCGGUGGAGCAUGUGGUUUAAUUCGAUGAUACGCGAGGAACCUUACCAGGGUUUAAAUGCAGAACGACAGGGGUGGAAACACCCCCUUCUUCGGACGGACUGCAAGGUGCUGCAUGGUUGUCGUCAGCUCGUGCUGUGAAGUGUCGGGUUAAGUCCCAUAACGAGCGCAACCCCCAUUUCUAGUUGCCAGCGGUUCGGCCGGGGACUCUAGAGAAACUGCCAGCGUAAGCUGUGAGGAAGGUGGGGAUGACGUCAAAUCAUCACGGCCCUUACAUCCUGGGCCACACACGUGCUACAAUGGUGGGGACAACAGGUUGCCAACCCGCGAGGGUGAGCCAAUCCCAAAACCCCAUCUCAGUUCGGAUCGGAGUCUGCAACUCGACUCCGUGAAGUUGGAAUC
rnacentral:rRNA from 1 species